rnacentral:rRNA from 1 species
AUGAACGCUGGCGGCGUGCUUAACACAUGCAAGUCGCACGAAGCACUUUAUUUGAUUUCCUUCGGGACUGAUUAUUUUGUGACUGAGUGGCGGACGGGUGAGUAACGCGUGGGUAACCUGCCUUGUACAGGGGGAUAACAGUUGGAAACGGCUGCUAAUACCGCAUAAGCGCACAGCAUCGCAUGAUGCAGUGUGAAAAACUCCGGUGGUAUAAGAUGGACCCGCGUUGGAUUAGCUAGUUGGUGAGGUAACGGCCCACCAAGGCGACGAUCCAUAGCCGACCGGAGAGGGUGACCGGCCACAUUGGGACUGAGACACGGCCCAAACUCCUACGGGAGGCAGCAGUGGGGAAUAUUGCACAAUGGGCGAAAGCCUGAUGCAGCGACGCCGCGUGAGCGAAGAAGUAUUUCGGUAUGUAAAGCUCUAUCAGCAGGGAAGAUAAUGACGGUACCUGACGAAGAAGCACCGGCUAAAUACGUG